rnacentral:misc_RNA from 1 species
GAUGAAGAACGCAGCGAAAUGCGAUAAGUAGUGUGAAUUGCAGAAUUCAGUGAAUCAUCGAAUCUUUGAACGCACAUUGCGCCCUUUGGUAUUCCUUAGGGCAUGCCUGUUCGAGCGUCAUUUAAACCUUCAAGCUCAGCUUGGUGAUGGGUGACUGUCCUCCCCUCGCGGGGGGACUCGCCUCAAAAACAUUGGCGGCCGGUACAUUGGCUUCGAGCGCAGCAGAAACGCGGUCUCGAGUCCGGUGGAUCGGCUCCCAUAAGUCUAUUCUUUUAUUUUGACCUCGGAUCAGGUAGGGAUACCCGCUGAACUUAAGCAUAUCAUAAGGGAGGA